UGUGGGAAAACAAGAUCUACAGGCGUCAGUUUUCAUAAUUUUCCAAAAUGCGAAAAGUUAAGGUUAAAGUGGAUACAAAACUUGCCCGCUUUGCAAGAACAAUAGCAUUCGAUUUUUUUGUUGUCAUUGGCUACAAACACUUUGAUUUGGAUCUCAUGAGGUUUUUCGGUGAUGUUCGACGUUUUCAAACAUGAAGAUUUGAUUAAUAAACAAUUAUUUUGCUUCGAUUGGAUACCACAGAAAAACAAGUUUUUGGAACGAGAAAGCGCCUCUCCUUCCCUCAACGGCCUUACUGAUCCACCAAGUAGAUAAAAUAUAUCACCAAUAUUAAUAUCCAGGGCUUUCUCCAUGUUAAAAAAAACAAAUAAACAAAAAAAAUGCAAAAAUUUAUUUUGACAACUUGAACGAAAAUCCUCUAUAUCGGCCAUAUUGCACUCACACCAGAGCCAUCUCUAGGUAAUUUCGUUCGCCAAUAUGAGAAAAGAGUUAU